rnacentral:tRNA from 1 species
CGGAGGAAUACCCAAGUCCGGCUGAAGGGAUCGGUCUUGAAAACCGACAGGGGUGUCAAAGCCCGCGGGGGUUCGAAUCCCUCUUCCUCCGCCAU